rnacentral:lncRNA from 1 species
UUAUAGUGUGUAUAUGUUACUUUUGGUUAUUGAUACAAUGUUAAAUAUUACUGUUGUUGUUUCUGUGUGUUUGGUUUGGGCGUACUCUCUUUUUGUUACUGCUGAGCUUUGAUCAUCUGCUUUUUUUAAGUUCAUAUCUUCAUUUUCUUUAUUGUUACUAUACUGAAUGUUCUAAACAAGGUUUGGAAAGUCAAAGAUGAUUUUUGUUUUUAUUUUUUCUUAUUUUAUUUUCCUUUUAUUUAGUUAUUUUAUUAUUAUUAAAUGAGAUUCGGUUUAGACUUAUGUUUAACAAAGUUUUCAGGUUAAUUAGGUUUAUCAUAAUUUUUGCAUGUAGUUUUAC